rnacentral:rRNA from 1 species
ACAGCAGCAGCCGCGGUAAAACGAAGGGGGCUAGCGUUGUUCGGAAUUAUUGGGCGUAAAGGGUGCGUAGGCGGCUUGACAAGUCUUGUGUGAAAUCUAUGGGCUCAACCCAUAGUCUGCACGGGAAACUGUCGGGCUUGAGAAUGGGAGAGGUGAGUGGAAUUUCCGGUGUAGCGGUGAAAUGCGUAGAUAUCGGAAGGAACACCUGUGGCGAAAGCGGCUCACUGGACCAUUUCUGACGCUGAUGCACGAAAGCUAGGGGAGCAAACAGGAUUAGAUACCCCGGUAGUCCCUGUCUCUUAUAC